CCUGGGUAUGGACGAAAUGGACUCCACAGGCCGAUGUCCACAGACUUUGGUCAGUACAACAGUUAUGGAGACGUGAGCAAUGCAACUCGCGAUUACCAGGUUGGUAAAGAUUUUCGUCCAUCAAGUUAACAGAAACAAAUUCAUCAACAGUGCAUCAACUAUGUUAAUCACGUCUUAGAAGAAUUUCUUAAAAGUUGUUAAGCUGCUUGUUUUAUUAUUAAUGAUAUAACUAUGACACUAGGGGAAAGAGUGUCUUACUGUCAGUACAGCAAACAUUUCUAAGAUUGUCAAAGGAGCAAUGAGUGAUAGUUCUCUCAUUGAUAGAUUUUUCCUAACUAUAAUACUAUACAACGAAAGUCCAAAUAUAAAUCUGCUUAUUCUGUUGUUAUAUCUUUGCUCUUCUUCUCGAGAUGGUUUCCUAUCUUUUUUAUAUUUUAUUGUGGCCAUGGAAUAAAAAUAUGCCAAUGUAUUUUAUAUAAAACAGGCAUGUGGGCUGUAUAAAAUGGCCAAGUAAAAAUGUAGUGUUAUUUUUUAAAUAUAACCCUUCUCUUUACAUGUUUGAAUAUUACUAUGUUAUGGAAAUCUCAAUAUAUUGAUUAUAGAAAAGACUUUAUUGAUGUAGAAGGAAUUAAAAAUUUUACUUGUUAAAAUGGAUAAAAUGCUUUGGUACAACUGGAAAGCAACCAAAUAUUGUAAAGAUGAUAGCAAGAACCAAAACAAUGAAUCACUCUGAGGGACAGUUUUCCUACCAUUCCAUUCCCUGAAUAAUGGUGUAUAAAUAUUCUAGAUACCGUGUUUCCCAGAAAAUAAGUCUUAU